rnacentral:rRNA from 1 species
UGGGGAAUUUUGGACAAUGGGGGCAACCCUGAUCCAGCAAUGCCGCGUGUGUGAAGAAGGCCUUCGGGUUGUAAAGCACUUUUGUCCGGGAAGAAAUCCCCUGCCCUAAUACGGCGGGGGGAUGACGGUACCGGAAGAAUAAGCACCGGCUAACUACGUGCCAGCAGCCGCGGUAAUACGUAGGGUGCGAGCGUUAAUCGGAAUUACUGGGCGUAAAGCGUGCGCAGGCGGUGAUGUAAGACCGAUGUGAAAUCCCCGGGCUCAACCUGGGAACUGCAUUGGUGACUGCAUUGCUCGAGUAUGGCAGAGGGGGGUGGAAUUCCACGUGUAGCAGUGAAAUGCGUAGAGAUGUGGAGGAACACCGAUGGCGAAGGCAGCCCCCUGGGCCAAUACUGACGCUCAUGCACGAAAGCGUGGGGGAGCAAACAGGAUUAGAUACCCUGGUAGUCCACGCCCUAAACGAUGUCAACUGGUUGUCGGGCCUUCAUUGGCUUGGUAACGUAGCUAACGCGUGAAGUUGACCGCCUGGGGAGUACGGUCGCAAGAUUAAAACUCAAAGGAAUUGACGGGGUCAUAGCUGUUUCCU